AGGGGGGGUUUGAUCNUGGNUCAGAACGAANGCUGGCGGGAUGCCUAACACAUGCAAGUCGAACGUGAAGCCACCCUUCGGGGUGGUGGAAAGUGGCGCACGGGUGAGUAACGCGUGGGAACCUGCCCAACGGUACGGAAUAACCGCGGGAAACUGCGGCUAAUACCGUAUACGCCCCAUGGGGGAAAGAUUUAUCGCCGAUGGAGGGGCCCGCGUCGGAUUAGGUUGUUGGUAGGGUAACGGCCUACCAAGCCGACGAUCCGUAGUUGGUCUGAGAGGAUGAUCAGCCACACUGGGACUGAGACACGGCCCAGACUCCUACGGGAGGCAGCAGUGGGGAAUAUUGGACAAUGGGCGAAAGCCUGAUCCAGCAAUGCCGCGUGAGUGAAGAAGGCCUUAGGGUUGUAAAGCUCUUUCACCGGGG
rnacentral:rRNA from 1 species